UACGUAGGUGGCAAGCGUUGUCCGGAUUUACUGGGCGUAAAGAGCGCGCAGGCGGUCGUUCAAGUCGCGUGUGAAAGCCCCCGGCUCAACUGGGGAGGGUCACGCGAUACUGAUCGACUCGAAGGCAGGAGAGGGAAGUGGAAUUCCCGGUGUAGUGGUGAAAUGCGUAGAUAUCGGGAGGAACACCAGUGGCGAAGGCGACUUCCUGGCCUGUUCUUGACGCUGAGGCGCGAAAGCUAGGGGAGCAAACGGGAGUA
rnacentral:rRNA from 1 species